UACGAAGGGGGCUAGCGUUGUUCGGAAUUACUGGGCGUAAAGCGUGCGCAGGCGGCUUCUCAAGUCAGGGGUGAAAGCCCAGAGCUCAACUCUGGAAUUGCCUUUGAGACUGAGUGGCUUGAGUACGAGAGAGGUGAGUGGAAUUCCCAGUGUAGAGGUGAAAUUCGUAGAUAUUGGGAAGAACACCGGUGGCGAAGGCGGCUCACUGGCUCGUAACUGACGCUCAGGCACGACAGCGUGGGGAGCAAACAGG
rnacentral:rRNA from 1 species